rnacentral:tRNA from 1 species
CAGGGAGACAAACCUGAUCGUGAUGUCUGAGUACUUUAUUCUCAGGCCAUGAUCCUGUCACCUUAGGUCGAUCGGUACCUCGCAGAGAGGAUGAAAGAGCCUGAGCAAUCAGGGGAGAUUCAUCUGAUCUGAUUCAGUUCCUAAACUUUGUCUAGGUCACCCCGUAGCUCCUGGGCCAUUAGCUCAGGUGGUUAGAGCGCACCCCUGAUAAGGGUGAGGUCCCUGGUUCAAGUCCAGGAUGGCCCAUUCACAGCCUGUUUACCAGGCAGGACUUGACUAGCUGGGGGUUUAGCUCAGUUGGUAGAGCGCCUGCUUUGCAAGCAGGAUGUCAGCGGUUCGAGUCCGCUAACCUCCAUAUCAACGCGACCCCACAAGCGGAAGCAAGUGAGCUGAAUCGGAGUGAUCAAGAUAGGGAAGGAGAGGAGCUGAGAAUGACUCCAGCCUUCAGGAUUCAAGGAUGGGUGCUCAGGAGAUGAGCAAGGUCAAUCGUUGAAUGUUGAAUGCUGGACUCACACCAGGAAGCAGAUGCUUGCUGGUGAGAUGUUCAGCGAAGAACCUUGACAACUGCAUAGGUGAGUCUGGAAAGAAAGCAUCUCAUGGAUGACCAGUGAAAACUGGAAAUUCUAUUGAGUUUAGAGCCGAGGCUUUCCAGCGUUCUUCCAAGUCCCUGACCUAUCCAGUCAGGGUGAGGGAGUUUGAUUGUGGUGUUCAAACCGCAAGCGAUCAGAAGCUGUGAACCGAAAGGUUGAUGGCUUGUGAUGGUGAGCAGGUGAACCCGCAAGAAGCGGCCUCAACAGCCGUAAGACGUUGGGAAGUGUAAUU